AGAGACUCAGUUUAUGGCCUAUUUGUUGGGUCAGUGAGCAGCUUGGAAUCAAGGUCCAGCUCCACCCCUUGGAAUCAACAUCAGGCCAGUCUUUUCCUGUGCUUCUAAGGGCGAGGUGAACAGAUGCUGCUGAAUCAGUUUGAGUGGAACCUUUUUCUGCCAGUAAAGAAAUAAACUUCUCUGAGUUCUUGAGCAAGGAAAAGCAACACACAUGAGAGGUCAUGAAUUUGGUGAGGAGUGGAGCUGGCUGGCUGCGGAUGAGGAAGUAGGGCAAUAUAU